rnacentral:rRNA from 1 species
UACAGAAUCCCCAAGCGUUAUCCGGAUUUAUUGGGCGUAAAGCGUCCGCAGACGGUUUGAUAAGUCUUUGGUUAAAGCCCGAGAGCUCAACUUUCGGAAUGCCAAGGAAACUGCCAGACUUGAGGAUGUUAGGGGCUGAUAGAACUCUUGGUGGAGGGGUGAAAUCCGUUGAUAUCAAGAGGAAUACCAAAAGCGAAGGCAUUCAGCUGGGGCAAUCCUGACGUUCAUGGACGAAAGCGUGGGUAGCAAAAAGG